rnacentral:rRNA from 1 species
AUUGAACGCUGGCGGCAGGCCCAACACAUGCAAGUCGAGCGGAUGAAGGGAGCUUGCUCCUGGAUUCAGCGGCGGACGGGUGAGUAAUGCCUAGGAAUCUGCCUGGUAGUGGGGGAUAACGUCGGAAACGGGCGCUAAUACCGCAUACGUCCUGAGGGAGAAAGUGGGGGAUCUUCGGACCUCACGCUAUCAGAUGAGCCUAGGUCGGAUUAGCUAGUUGGUGGGGUAAAGGCCUACCAAGGCGACGAUCCGUAACUGGUCUGAGAGGAUGAUCAGUCACACUGGAACUGAGACACGGUCCAGACUCCUACGGGAGGCAGCAGUGGGGAAUAUUGGACAAUGGGCGAAAGCCUGAUCCAGCCAUGCCGCGUGUGUGAAGAAGGUCUUCGGAUUGUAAAGCACUUUAAGUUGGGAGGAAGGGCAGUAAGUUAAUACCUUGCUGUUUUGACGUUACCAACAGAAUAAGCACCGGCUAACUUCGUG